GUGGGUUUAGUUUAAUAGUAGAAUGUCGGACUCCAAAUCCGAAGAUAGUGGUGCGAUUCCAUUAACCUAUGCCA
rnacentral:tRNA from 1 species